GUCAAGAGGGAAACAACCCAGACUACCAGCUAAGGUCCCUAAAUCUUACUUAAGUGGAAAACGAUGUGAAGUUACUUAAACAACCAGGAGGUUGGCUUAGAAGCAGCCAUCCUUUAAAGAAAGCGUAAUAGCUCACUGGUCUAGUGAUUUUGCGCGGAAAAUAUAACGGGGCUAAAGUAAGUACCGAAGCUGUAGACUUAGUUUACUAAGUGGUAGGAGAGCGUUCUAUUUGCGUCGAAGGUAUACCGGUAAGGAGUGCUGGAGCGAAUAGAAGUGAGCAUGCAGGCAUGAGUAGCGAUAAUUAAUGUGAGAAUCAUUAACGCCGUAAACCCAAGGUUUCCUACGCGAUGCUCGUCAUCGUAGGGUUAGUCGGGUCCUAAGUCGAGUCCGAAAGGGGUAGACGAUGGCAAAUUGGUUAAUAUUCCAAUACCAACAUUAGUGUGCGAUGGAAGGACGCUUAGGGCUAAGGGGGCUAGCGGAUGGAAGUGCUAGUCUAAGGUCGUAGGAGGUUAUACAGGCAAAUCCGUAUAACAAUACUCCGAGAACUGAAAGGCUUUUUGAAGUCUUCGGAUGGAUAGAAGAACCCCUGAUGCCGUCGAGCCAAGAAAAGUUUCUAAGUUUAGCUAAUGUUGCCCGUACCGUAAACCGACACAGGUGGGUGGGAUGAGUAUUCUAAGGCGCGUGGAAGAACUCUCUUUAAGGAACUCUGCAAAAUAGCACCGUAUCUUCGGUAUAAGGUGUGGUUAGCUUUGUAUUAGGAUUUACUCCGAAAGCAAGGAAACUUACAACAAAGAGUCCCUCCCGACUGUUUACCAAAAACACAGCACUCUGCUAACUCGUAAGAGGAUGUAUAGGGUGUGACGCCUGCCCGGUGCUCGAAGGUUAAUUGAUGGGGUUAGCAUUAGCGAAGCUCUUGAUCGAAGCCCGAGUAAACGGCGGCCGUAACUAUAACGGUCCUAAGGUAGCGAAAUUCCUUGUCGGUUAAAUACCGACCUGCAUGAAUGGCGUAACGAGAUGGGAGCUGUCUCAAAGAGGGAUCCAGUGAAAUUGUAGUGGAGGUGAAAAUUCCUCCUACCCGCGGCAAGACGGAAAGACCCCGUGGACCUUUACUACAGCUUGACACUGCUACUUGGAUAAGAAUGUGCAGGAUAGGUGGGAGGCUUUGAGUAUAUGACGCCAGUUGUAUAUGAGCCAUUGUUGAGAUACCACUCUUUCUUAUUUGGGUAGCUAACCAGCUUGAGUUAUCCUCAAGUGGGACAAUGUCUGGUGGGUAGUUUGACUGGGGCGGUCGCCUCCCAAAUAAUAACGGAGGCUUACAAAGGUUGGCUCAGAACGGUUGGAAAUCGUUCGUAGAGUAUAAAGGUAUAAGCCAGCUUAACUGCAAGACAUACAAGUCAAGCAGAGACGAAAGUCGGUCUUAGUGAUCCGGUGGUUCUGUGUGGAAGGGCCAUCGCUCAAAGGAUAAAAGGUACCCCGGGGAUAACAGGCUGAUCUCCCCCAAGAGCUCACAUCGACGGGGAGGUUUGGCACCUCGAUGUCGGCUCAUCGCAUCCUGGGGCUGGAGCAGGUCCCAAGGGUAUGGCUGUUCGCCAUUUAAAGCGGUACGCGAGCUGGGUUCAGAACGUCGUGAGACAGUUCGGUCCCUAUCUGCCGUGGGCGUAAGAAGAUUGAAGAGAUUUGACCCUAGUACGAGAGGACCGGGUUGAACAAACCACUGGUGUAGCUGUUGUUCUGCCAAGAGCAUCGCAGCGUAGCUAAGUUUGGAAAGGAUAAACGCUGAAAGCAUCUAAGCGUGAAGCCAACUCUAAGAUGAAUCUUCUCUAAGCUCUCUAGAAGACUACUAGUUUGAUAGGCUGGGUGUGUAAUGGAUGAAAGUCCUUUAGCUGACCAGUACUAAUAGAGCGUUUGGCUUAUCUUUAAUAAAGCAU
rnacentral:rRNA from 1 species